rfam:Flavobacterium sp. CF136 PMI10_contig108.108, whole genome shotgun sequence.
AAGGAGAACCCGAAAAUCCUAAAAGAGUAGGGA